CCUCGGGACGCAGCAGUGAGGAAUAUUGGUCAAUGGGCGCGAGCCUGAACCAGCCAAGUCGCGUGAGGGAAGACGGUCCUAUGGAUUGUAAACCUCUUUUGUCGGGGAGCAAAAGACGCCACGCGUGGCGUUCCGAGAGUACCCGAAGAAAAAGCAUCGGCUAACUCCGUGCCAGCAGCCGCGGUAAUACGGAGGAUGCGAGCGUUAUCCGGCUUUAUUGGGUUUAAAGGGUGCGCAGGCGGAAGAUCAAGCCAGCGGUAAAAUUGAGAGGCUCAACCUCUUCGAGCCGUUGCAACUGGUUUUCU
rnacentral:rRNA from 1 species